UCUGAACUCGGAGAUGGUCACAUUUUAACACCCUGUUCCACACAGAAACUGAAGGAAAGUGACAGAAACAAGAGAGAUUGCAACAUGUGUAUGAAGACUUGCUUGUAUUGUGAUGAGAGUCCCAUUGGUACAUCCAAGGGAAGUAGUCAUAGGAGACCUGGGAGCACAGGAAACAAACAACAGAACAAGAGGAAGAAGGAAAAGGCAUGUGUACAUGUCACCAGAUCGUGAUGGGAUAUACACUGUGCGUCGGAAUCUCAGCCUCAUUAUAAUCCUGAAAGAC
rnacentral:lncRNA from 1 species